UAAGCACCUUAACAGUCCCUUAUAGCCUUUGUGGAAAUGCAAAUCACGUAGGAGGGGAUGGGAUCCUAGACUAACAGAAAGGACUGUAGUCCAACUAAGCCUAUUAACAAGCCCCAAGUACCCUCUGCAGUAAAGCAAAGGGAGUUAGGUGGGAAUAGGAUCCUAGGUUUUAAAAAAAGGACUGUACCUGCAUUUAAGCACAGUUAACAGUCCAUUGUACACUGAGGUACAAUCCAAAUAGAGGCGGGAAAGGAAAUCUAGACCAACAGAAGGGAGAAUAGCUUUAAUUAAGCCUAUUAACAGUCCCAAGUACCCUCUGCUGUGAUGGAAAGGGAGUUAGGUGGGAAUGGAUUUUGAGGUUAACAAAAGGCACUGUACCUGCACUUAAACACAUAAGAGUCCCUUGUAGCCUCUUUAGUAAUUCAAAGCAAGUCAGGCUGGGAAUGGGAUCCUAGAAUAACAG
rnacentral:lncRNA from 1 species